rnacentral:rRNA from 1 species
AUUGAACGCUGGCGGCAUGCCUUACACAUGCAAGUCGAACGGUAACGCGGGGCAACCUGGCGACGAGUGGCGAACGGGUGAGUAAUGCAUCGGAACGUGCCCAGCUGUGGGGGAUAACUGCUCGAAAGAGCAGCUAAUACCGCAUACGACCUGAGGGUGAAAGCGGGGGAUCGCAAGACCUCGCGCAAUUGGAGCGGCCGAUGUCGGAUUAGCUAGUUGGUGGGGUAAAGGCCCACCAAGGCGACGAUCCGUAGCUGGUCUGAGAGGACGACCAGCCACACUGGGACUGAGACACGGCCCAGACUCCUACGGGAGGCAGCAGUGGGGAAUUUUGGACAAUGGGGGCAACCCUGAUCCAGCCAUGCCGCGUGAGUGAAGAAGGCCUUCGGGUUGUAAAGCUCUUUCGCGAGGGAAGAAAGCGCACUGGUUAAUACCUGGUGUGGAUGACGGUACCUUGAUAAGAAGCACCGGCUAACUACGUGCCAGCCGCCGCAGUAACAC